AUUGAACGCUGGCGGCAGGCCUAACACAUGCAAGUCGAGCGGGGUUUUCGGACCUAGCGGCGGACGGGUGAGUAAUGCGUAGGAAGCUGCCCGAUAGAGGGGGAUACCAGUUGGAAACGACUGUUAAUACCGCAUAAUGUCUACGGACCAAAGUGUGGGACCUUCGGGCCACAUGCUAUCGGAUGCGCCUACGUGGGAUUAGCUAGUUGGGGGGGUAAUGGGUCACCAAGGCGACGAUCUCUAGCUGGUUUGAGAGGAUGAUCAGCCACACUGGAACUGAGACACGGUCCAGACUCCUACGGGAGGCAGCAGUGGGGAAUAUUGGACAAUGGGCGCAAGCCUGAUCAAGCCAUGCCGCGUGUGUAAAGAAGGCCUUCGGGUUGUAAAGCACUUUCAGCGAGGAGGAAGGGUGGUGUGUUAAUAGCACAUCAUUUUGACGUUACUCGCAGAAGAAGCACCGGCUAACUCUGUGCCAGCCGCCGCCGUAACAC
rnacentral:rRNA from 1 species